GUAGGUGGCGAGCGUUGUCCGGAAUUAUUGGGCGUAAAGCGCGCGCAGGCGGUUCUUUAAGUCUGAUGUGAAAGCCCACGGCUCAACCGUGGAGGGUCAUUGGAAACUGGAGAACUUGAGUACAGAAGAGGAAAGCGGAAUUCCACGUGUAGCGGUGAGAUGCGUAGAGAUGUGGAGGAACACCAGUGGCGAAGGCGGCUUUCUGGUCUGUAACUGACGCUGAGGCGCGAAAGCGUGGGGGAGCAAACAGGAUUAGAUACCCUGGUAGUCCACGCCGUAAACGAUGAGUGCUAAGUGUUAGGGGGUUUCCGCCCCUUAGUGCAGCAGCUAACGCAUUAAGCACUCCGCCUGGGAGUACGGCCGCAAGGCUG
rnacentral:rRNA from 1 species